GGCUGGUCUGAUGGUAGUGGAUUAUCAGAACUUACUAACAUUAGUGUCACUAAAGUUGAUAUACAACCGCCAACUGCUAAAUUUGACUGGCUUAAA
rnacentral:Y_RNA from 1 species